AUUGAACGCUGGCGGCAGGCCUAACACAUGCAAGUCGAACGGUAGCACAGAGAGCUUGCUCUCGGGUGACGAGUGGCGGACGGGUGAGUAAUGUCUGGGAAACUGCCCGAUGGAGGGGGAUAACUACUGGAAACGGUAGCUAAUACCGCAUAACGUCGCAAGACCAAAGUGGGGGACCUUCGGGCCUAACACCAUCGGAUGUGCCCAGAUGGGAUUAGCUAGUAGGUGGGGUAAUGGAUCACCUAGGCGACGAUCCCUAGCUGGUCUGAGAGGAUGACCAGCCACACUGGAACUGAGACACGGUCCAGACUCCUACGGGAGGCAGCAGUGGGGAAUAUUGUACAAUGGGCGCAAGCCUGAUGCAGCCAUGCCGCGUGUAUGAAGAAGGCCUUCGGGUUGUAAAGUACUUUCAGCGGGGAGGAAGGCGGUGAAGUUAAUAACUUCACCGAUUGACGUUACCCGCAGAAGAAACACCGGCUAACUCCGUGCCAGCCGCCGCGGUAA
rnacentral:rRNA from 1 species